rnacentral:lncRNA from 1 species
GGACUUGAGAGUUCUUGUCCACAGUUGCUCAACUCUGUCCAGGCUGCGCAGUAAAUUAGAGCAGGAGCAGGUCGUGCGGCGGAAGAAGGAUCUAGCAGAAGGUGCCUGACUGUGGGGCGUUGCAGAAGAUCAGACCCCUGGGAGCCCCGGCCCAGCUUAAACCUGCUGUGGCGACUGAAGACCAGGAUCAGAGCCAGGUUUGAGGAAAUGUGACGCCUCCCGGUACAGUAGGCUGAAUGACGUUUAUGUCCUAAUCCCCGAACCUGAUAUCAAACUUCUUGCUUUCAUUUUCACGAGGACUUCCCCCAACCUACAAACUCCUGGACUAGAUCCAAUGCAGCCUCAGAUCUUGCAGACGACUCAACUAGAAGACAAUCUCCUCCAACAGUUCUGGGCUGCAGCCGUGUAAAGCAAAGAGCAGGAACACAAAACAAACAUUGUCUGAAAAUUCCCUGAGUGAGGCAUUUUAAAAGGAAUAAUGAAGAUGCGGCCCUGUGUUUCGUUGGUUUGAAUCCUGGGCGCGGACAUGGCACUGCUCGUCAAACCACGCUGAGGCAGUGUCCCACAUGCCACAACUAGAAGGACC